AACGAACGCUGGCGGCAUGCCUAACACAUGCAAGUCGAACGAGACCUUCGGGUGUAGUGGCGCACGGGUGCGUAACGCGUGGGAACCUGCCCUUAGGUUCGGAAUAACUCCCCGAAAGGGGUGCUAAUACCGGAUAAUGUCUUCGGACCAAAGAUUUAUCGCCUUUGGAUGGGCCCGCGUUGGAUUAGCUAGUUGGUAGGGUAAAAGCCUACCAAGGCGACGAUCCAUAGCUGGUCUGAGAGGAUGAUCAGCCACACUGGGACUGAGACACGGCCCAGACUCCUACGGGAGGCAGCAGUGGGGAAUAUUGGACAAUGGGCGAAAGCCUGAUCCAGCAAUGCCGCGUGAGUGAUGAAGGCCUUAGGGUUGUAAAGCUCUUUUACCCGGGAUGAUAAUGACAGUACCGGGAGAAUAAGCUCCGGCUAACUCCGUG
rnacentral:rRNA from 1 species